rnacentral:rRNA from 1 species
GGUUAAGUGAAUAAGGGCGCACGGUGGAUGCCUUGGCACUAGGAGCCGAUGAAGGACGGGACUAACACCGAUAUGCUUUGGGGAGCUGUACGUAAGCUAUGAUCCAGAGAUUUCCGAAUGGGGGAACCCAACAUCUUUAAUAGGAUGUUACGAUUGUGUGAAUACAUAGCACAUUCGAGGUAGACGCAGAGAACUGAAACAUCUAAGUACCUGCAGGAAGAGAAAGAAAAUUCGAUUCCCUGAGUAGCGGCGAGCGAAACGGGAAAAGCCCAAACCAGCAAGCUUGCUUGCUUGUUGGGGUUGUAGGACUCCAAUAUGGUAGUUCUUUCAGAUAGUCGAAUGACUUGGAAAAGUCAGUCAAAGAGGGUAAAAACCCCGUAGACGAAAUGUGGAAGACACCUAGGAGGAUCCUGAGUACGGCGGAACACGAGAAAUUCCGUCGGAAUCCGGGAGGACCAUCUCCCAAGGCUAAAUACUCCCUAGUGACCGAUAGUGAACCAGUACCGUGAGGGAAAGGUGAAAAGCACCCCGGAAGGGGAGUGAAAUAGAACCUGAAACCGUGUGCCUACAACAAGUCAAAGCCCGUUAAUGGGUGAUGGCGUGCCUUUUGUAGAAUGAACCGGCGAGUUACGAUUGCAUGCGAGGUUAAGUUGAAGAGACGGAGCCGCAGCGAAAGCGAGUCUGAAUAGGGCGUUUGAGUAUGUAGUCGUAGACCCGAAACCAUGUGAUCUACCCAUGUCCAGGUUGAAGGUGCGGUAAAACGCACUGGAGGACCGAACCCACGUACGUUGAAAAGUGCGGGGAUGAGGUGUGGGUAGCGGAGAAAUUCCAAACGAACUUGGAGAUAGCUGGUUCUCUCCGAAAUAGCUUUAGGGCUAGCCUCGGAAUUGAGAAUGAUGGAGGUAGAGCACUGUUUGGACUAGGGGCCCAUCUCGGGUUACCGAAUUCAGAUAAACUCCGAAUGCCAUUCAUUCAUAUCCGGGAGUCAGACUGUGAGUGAUAAGAUCCAUAGUCGAAAGGGAAACAGCCCAGACCACCAGCUAAGGUCCCAAAAUAUAUGUUAAGUGGAAAAGGAUGUGGGGUUGCACAGACAACUAGGAUGUUGGCUUAGAAGCAGCCACCAUUUAAAGAGUGCGUAAUAGCUCACUAGUCGAGUGACCCUGCGCCGAAAAUGUACCGGGGCUAAACAUAUUACCGAAGCUGUGGAGUACACCUUUAGGUGUAUUGGUAGGAGAGCGUUCUAAGGGCGUUGAAGGCAGAUCGUGAGGACUGCUGGAGCGCUUAGAAGUGAGAAUGCCGGUAUGAGUAGCGAAAGACAGGUGAGAAUCCUGUCCACCGAAUGACUAAGGUUUCCUGGGGAAGGCUCGUCCGCCCAGGGUUAGUCGGGACCUAAGCCGAGGCCGACAGGCGUAGGCGAUGGAUAACAGGUUGAUAUUCCUGUACCCGUUGUUUUUGUUUGAGCAAUGGAGGGACGCAGGAGGCUAAGGAAUGCAGACGAUCGGAAAUGUCUGUCCAAGCAGUAAGUCUGAAGAGGAGUCAAAUGCUUCUUUUCUUAAGGACAAGCUGUGAUGGGGAGGGAAAUAAUAGUACCGAAGUUCCUGAUGUCACACUGCCGAGAAAAGCUUCUAGUGAGAAAACAGCGGCCCGUACCGCAAACCGACACAGGUAGUCGAGGAGAGAAUCCUAAGGUGAGCGAGAGAACUCUCGUUAAGGAACUCGGCAAAAUGACCCCGUAACUUCGGGAGAAGGGGUGCUGAUCAUACGAUCAGCCGCAGUGAAUAGGCCCAAGCGACUGUUUAUCAAAAACACAGGUCUCUGCAAAAUCGUAAGAUGAAGUAUAGGGGCUGACGCCUGCCCGGUGCUGGAAGGUUAAGAGGAGUGCUUAGCGCAAGCGAAGGUACGAAUUGAAGCCCCAGUAAACGGCGGCCGUAACUAUAACGGUCCUAAGGUAGCGAAAUUCCUUGUCGGGUAAGUUCCGACCCGCACGAAAGGCGUAACGAUUUGGGCACUGUCUCAACGAGAGACUCGGUGAAAUUUUAGUACCUGUGAAGAUGCAGGUUACCCGCGACAGGACGGAAAGACCCCAUGGAGCUUUACUGUAGUUUGAUAUUGAGUGUCUGUACCGCAUGUACAGGAUAGGUAGGAGCCGUAGAAAUCGGAACGCUAGUUUCGAUGGAGGCGCUGGUGGGAUACUACCCCUGCGUUAUGGCCACUCUAACCCGCACCACUAAUCGUGGUGGGAGACAGUGUCAGAUGGGCAGUUUGACUGGGGCGGUCGCCUCCUAAAGUAACGGAGGCGCCCAAAGGUUCCCUCAGAAUGGUUGGAAAUCAUUCGAAGAGUGUAAAGGCAGAAGGGAGCUUGACUGCGAGACCAACAAGUCGAGCAGGGACGAAAGUCGGGCUUAGUGAUCCGGUGGUUCCGCAUGGAAGGGCCAUCGCUCAACGGAUAAAAGCUACCCUGGGGAUAACAGGCUUAUCUCCCCCAAGAGUCCACAUCGACGGGGAGGUUUGGCACCUCGAUGUCGGCUCGUCGCAUCCUGGGGCUGUAGUCGGUCCCAAGGGUUGGGCUGUUCGCCCAUUAAAGCGGCACGCGAGCUGGGUUCAGAACGUCGUGAGACAGUUCGGUCCCUAUCCGUCGCGGGCGUUGGAAAUUUGAGAGGAGCUGUCCUUAGUACGAGAGGACCGGGAUGGACUUACCGCUGGUGUACCAGUUGUUCUGCCAAGGGCAUUGCUGGGUAGCUAUGUAGGGAAGGGAUAAACGCUGAAAGCAUCUAAGUGUGAAGCCCACCUCAAGAUGAGAUUUCCCAUUUCUUUAAGAAAGUAAGAUCCCUGAGAGAUGAUCAGGUAGAUAGGUCAGGAGUGGAAGUACAGUGAUGUAUGGAGCGGACUGAUACUAAUCGAUCGAGGACUUAACCAA